rnacentral:rRNA from 1 species
GGAGGGGGGGCUAGCGUUGUUCGGAAUUACUGGGCGUAAAGCGCGCGUAGGCGGGGGGCUGGUCAGUUGGGGGGGGUGAAAUCCCGAGGGCUCAACCUCGGAACUGCCCCCAAUACUACCAGUCUUGAGUUCGAGAGAGGUGAGUGGAAUUCCUAGUGUAGAGGUGAAAUUCGUAGAUAUUAGGAAGAACACCAGUGGCGAAGGCGGCUCACUGGCUCGAUACUGACGCUGAGGCGCGAAAGCGUGGGGAGCAAACAGGAUUAGAUACCCUGGUAGUCCACGCCGUAAACGAUGGGUGCUAGUUGUCGGGCGGCAUGCCGUUCGGUGACGCAGCUAACGCGUUAAGCACCCCGCCUGGGGACUACGGUCGCAAGACUA